rnacentral:rRNA from 1 species
UGGCGCACGGGUGAGUAACACGUGGGCAAUCCUGCCCAUCUCUGGGGGAUAACCUGCCGAAAGGCGGACUAAUACCGCGUACGAGGGCCUUACUUCGGUAGGGUUCUGAAAGCAGGCCUCUGUAUACAAGCUUGCGGAGAUGGAUGGGCCCACGCUCCAUCAGUCUUGUUGGUGAGGUAACGGCUCACCAAGGCUACGACGGAUAGCUGGUCUGAGAGGAUGAUCAGUCCUACACUGGAACUGAGACACGGUCCAGACUCCUACGGGAGGCAGCAGUGGGGAAUCUUGCGCAUAUGGGCGAAAGCCUGACGCAGCGACGCCGCGUGGGUGACGAAGGCCUUCGGGUUGUACAGCCCUGUGGGGCGAGACGAACAUGGACGGAUC